AUGGCCUGGACUGUGCUCCUCCUCACCCUCCUCACUCAGGCCACAGGUUCCUGGGCCCAGUCUGCUCUGACUCAGCCUUCCUCAGUGUCUGGGGCUCUGGGACAGUCAGUCACCAUCUCCUGUGCUGGGACCAGCAACGACAUUGGGGGUUAUAACGAUGUGUCCUGGUACCAGCAGCUCCCUGGCAAGACACCCAAGCUCCUGAUUUAUAGAGUAAGUUCCCGGCCCUCAGGGAUCCCUGAUCGCUUCUCUGGCUCCAAGUCAGGCAACACGGCCACCUUGACCAUCUCUGGUCUCAAGCCUGAGGAUGAGGCUGAGUAUUACUGUGGCUCAUACCGGAGUGGUGGUACUUAUCACAGUGGUGCAAGUUCAUGGGGAAGUUCCUGGGCCCAGUCUGCUCUGACUCAGCCUUCCUCAGUGUCUGGGACUCUGGGACAGUCAGUCACCAUCUCCUGUGCUGGGACCAGCAAUGACAUUGGGGGUUAUAAUCAUGUGUCCUGGUACUAG